CGUGCAGGCGGGCCGAAAGUCUGAUGUGAAAGCCCCGGGCUCAACCUGGGAAGUGCAUUGGAAACUGUUGGUCUUGAGUUCUGGAGAGGAAGGGGGAAUUCCCGGUGUAGAGGUGAAAUUCGUAGAGAUCGGGAGGAAUACCAGUGGCGAAGGCGCCCUUCUGGACGGCAACUGACGCUGAGACGCGAAAGCGUGGGGAGCAAACAGGAUUAGAUACCCUGGUAGUCCACGCUGUAAACGAUGAGCACUAGGUGUAGCGGGUACUCAUUCCUGCUGUGCCGCAGCUAACGCGUUAAGUGCUCCGCCUGGGGAUUACGGUCGCAAGACUAAA
rnacentral:rRNA from 1 species